UCUUUGCAGACACAGGAGUAAAGCCAACGUUGACUCCUAACUUGAAUACCCUAGCUCUAGUUGAGGAAGGAGGAAUCUUUCAAGCGAUGAUUGUGUAAUGCUAUUAAAAGAAAGGUUGUGGAAUCCAAGUUUGUAUUUGAAACCAAGUUCAUACAAGGUCAUUGAGUUCCAAGCUUCUUUGAUUAAUUUGUGUUUCUUGAACAACUAGUAUUGUAGUGAUCAACUAUAUGUAUGUUUAAGCAUAUAUAUGCAAUUUGUUAG